rnacentral:rRNA from 1 species
GUGACCUCAAAUCAGGUAGGACUACCCGCUGAACUUAAGCAUAUCAAUAAGCGGAGGAAAAGAAACUAACAAGGAUUCCCCUAGUAACUGCGAGUGAAGCGGGAAAAGCUCAAAUUUAAAAUCUGUCAGUCUUUGGCUGUCCGAGUUGUAAUCUAGAGAAGUGUUAUCCGCGCUGGACCGUGUACAAGUCUCCUGGAAUGGAGCGUCAUAGAGGGUGAGAAUCCCGUCUUUGACACGGACUGCCAGGGCUUUGUGAUGCGCUCUCAAAGAGUCGAGUUGUUUGGGAAUGCAGCUCAAAAUGGGUGGUAAAUUCCAUCUAAAGCUAAAUAUUGGCGAGAGACCGAUAGCGAACAAGUACCGUGAGGGAAAGAUGAAAAGAACUUUGGAAAGAGAGUUAAACAGUACGUGAAAUUGCUGAAAGGGAAACGCUUGAAGUCAGUCGCGUUGGCCAGGGAUCAACCUUGCUUUUGCUUGGUGUACUUUCUGGUUGACGGGUCAGCAUCAAUUUUGACUGUUGGAAAAAAAUUAAGGGAAUGUGCGCAUCU